GACGAACGCUGGCGGCGUGCUUAACACAUGCAAGUCGAACGGAAAGGCCCUGCUUUUGUGGGGUGCUCGAGUGGCGAACGGGUGAGUAACACGUGAGUAACCUGCCCUUGACUUUGGGAUAACUUCAGGAAACUGGGGCUAAUACCGGAUAGGAGCUCCUGCUGCAUGGUGGGGGUUGGAAAGUUUCGGCGGUUGGGGAUGGACUCGCGGCUUAUCAGCUUGUUGGUGGGGUAGUGGCUUACCAAGGCUUUGACGGGUAGCCGGCCUGAGAGGGUGACCGGCCCCAUUGGGACUGAGAUCCGGCCCAGACUCCUACGGGAGGCAGCAGUGGGGAAUAUUGCACAAUGGGCGGAAGCCUGAUGCAGCAACGCCGCGUGCGGGAUGCCGGCCUUCGGGUUGUAAACCGCUUUCGCCUGUGACGAAGCGUGAGUGACGGUAAUGGGUAAAGAAGCACCGGCUAACUACGUG
rnacentral:rRNA from 1 species